rnacentral:rRNA from 1 species
AAUAGCUAUGUCGAGCGGACAGAUGGGAGCUUGCUCCCUGAUGUUAGCGGCGGACGGGUGAGUAACACGUGGGUAACCUGCCUGUAAGACUGGGAUAACUCCGGGAAACCGGGGCUAAUACCGGAUGGUUGUUUGAACCGCAUGGUUCAAACAUAAAAGGUGGCUUCGGCUACCACUUACAGAUGGACCCGCGGCGCAUUAGCUAGUUGGUGAGGUAACGGCUCACCAAGGCAACGAUGCGUAGCCGACCUGAGAGGGUGAUCGGCCACACUGGGACUGAGACACGGCCCAGACUCCUACGGGAGGCAGCAGUAGGGAAUCUUCCGCAAUGGACGAAAGUCUGACGGAGCAACGCCGCGUGAGUGAUGAAGGUUUUCGGAUCGUAAAGCUCUGUUGUUAGGGAAGAACAAGUACCGUUCGAAUAGGGCGGUACCUUGACGGUACCUAACCAGAAAGCCACGGCUAACUACGUGCCAGCAGCCGCGGUAAUACGUAGGUGGCAAGCGUUGUCCGGAAUUAUUGGGCGUAAAGGGCUCGCAGGCGGUUUCUUAAGUCUGAUGUGAAAGCCCCCGGCUCAACCGGGGAGGGUCAUUGGAAACUGGGGAACUUGAGUGCAGAAGAGAGAGUGGAAUUCCACGUGUAGCGGUGAAAUGCGUAGAGAUGUGGAGGAACACCAGUGGCGAAAGCGACUCUCUGGUCUG